UUACCAAAUAAUAUUCCAUUGUAUGUAUAUGCUAUAUUUUGUUUAUCAGUUUAUCAGUUGGUAGAUACUUGGGGUGUUUCCCCUAUUUAGCUGUUUUUGAAUAAUGCUGCUAACAUUCAUGUACAAGUUUUUGAGUAGACACAUGUUUUCAUUUCUCUUUGGUAUGUACCUAGGAGUGGACUUGCUGAGUCCUAUGAUAAUUCUAUUUUUAAUAUUUGAGGAACUAUACAGGGCAGCAAUUUAGCCCUGUAAUUUAUCCUUUGUUCAGUACAAGACAUUGUCUAGUAACCAGCAGCUUGUUUAAGUUACCUGAAAAGCUGCCCUGAGGUACUAGUAACUGACUCAGAUCUAACAUCACCUCCAACUAGAAGUUGCAGACUUAAUUUUAAUUUCAAGAAAUGAAAUUUUCAUUUAUAAGAGAAACUUUGUCACAUACAUCUGUGCAACAAAGACUCUUUCUCUUGCAACAGUUCAUCUCAAAAAACACAAAAAAUUUCAUUCUGCUGCCUUUACAGAUUUUGCAGAUAAGAGAUGCCCCAUUGCUUGGCAGACUGGUGGAUUGAAUUGUGUACCCCUCUUUGGACGGUCUUGGCCUGCAGUCUGGUGGGUGUGGAUCCUUUGUAAAUAAGAUCUCCUCAAGAUGUUCUUCAGUUAGACCUUUCAUUUCCCAUUCAAUGGGAAUCCAUAAGGGAGACGAUUUAGAGUACCAUAAAUGAAGGGGCAGUAAAAAUAAGGGGAAAUGGCUAAAGACAGCCUGAAUAAUGACUGGGAAAAGAGCCUGAACACCAGGCAUUGGAGAAAAGAUGUACAGAAUGGUUAACAGAGCACUGUAGACAAGACAUUUCCAAAAACUUAGAGGAAACAAAUUGGAUAAAAUAACCUGUUUCUCGUUAAAGAAAAGAUUUUUUCUGUUUUCCCAAAGUGAUAAUUUUGGAGGCCCAUGGUCCAGAAAGAUUAGAUGGUCUGAGAAU